CUACGGGACGCUCCAGUCGAGAAUCGUCUACAAUGGAAGAAAUUCUGAUAGUGCGACGCCGCGUGGAUGAAGAAGCCUUUCGGGGUGUAAAAUCCUUUUUUAUGUGAGCAAAGUUUGUAAGGUAAAUAGCUUUAUGAAUUAGAUAUUAGCGUAAGAAUAAGCUCCGGCUAACUCCGUGCCAGCAGCCGCGGUAAUACGGGGGGAGCAAGCGUUGUCCGGAAUCACUAGGCGUAAAGGGCAAGUAGGCGGACUUGUAAGUCAGGUGUCAAAGGCGUCGGCUCAACCGGCGUAUGGCAUUUGAUACUGUAAGUCUAGAGUAAGGCGGAUGAAGACGGAAUUCCUGGUGUAGCGGUGGAAUGCGCAGAUAUCAGGAAGAACAUCAGUGGCGAAGGCGGUCUUCAACACCAUUACUGACGCUCAAUUGCGAAGGUGUGGGUAUCGAACAGGAUUAGAUACCCUAGUAGUC
rnacentral:rRNA from 1 species